rnacentral:rRNA from 1 species
GAUGAACGCUGGCGGCGUGUCUAAUACAUGCAAGUCGAGCGAACAGAUGAGGAGCUUGCUCCUCUGACGUUAGCGGCGGACGGGUGAGUAACACGUGGAUAACCUACCUAUAAGACUGGGAUAACUUCGGGAAACCGGAGCUAAUACCGGAUAAUAUAUUGAACCGCAUGGUUCAAUAGUGAAAGACGGUUUUGCUGUCACUUAUAGAAGGAUCCGCGCCGCAUUAGCUAGUUGGUAAGGUAACGGCUUACCAAGGCAACGAUGCGUAGCCGACCUGAGAGGGUGAUCGGCCACACUGGAACUGAGACACGGUCCAGACUCCUACGGGAGGCAGCAGUAGGGAAUCUUCCGCAAUGGGCGAAAGCCUGACGGAGCAACGCCGCGUGAGUGAUGAAGGUCUUCGGAUCGUAAAACUCUGUUAUUAGGGAAGAACAAAUGUGUAAGUAACUAUGCACGUCUUGACGGUACCUAAUCAGAAAGCCACGGCUAACUACGUG